CACGCGGCUUGAUGACGGUCGCAUGGCGCCCACUCGGCGUCCUAAGAAAGCGCAGGUCAAAUGAUUGGCGCGUGGUGUAACUAAAACACGGGCAUGUAAUUAGGACAUGAUAAUACCUUAUUCUUCUUCCCACAUUGUAACAUUGUUUCUACCAGGAUGUCGACUAACGUGGAAAAAGCGAUGGAAGAAUAUGAGGCGGCCUGUGCAGAAUUAUCCGAAGAGCUGAGUGUGCUGUCAGGAAAGCUGACUACUCUGUUGCGCCUGCAGAACAGCCUCAUGACCUCCAAUUCAGUACUGACCUCCUGGCUGCGAAACGCAGAAGAGCUGUGGAAACACGAGACUGACAAACGCCCCUCUGCAGACGCCUGAAGGUCACGGAUGUGAUAGGUGGUGACCUGGUCGUCUGGCAAACAAUCAAAGUGUUCAUUGAGGCUCCAUAUCUCGACACGCACUGGUCCUGGACAAUAAAAACGCAUCGAUUAAUAUGUCCAUUUACCUGUGCCCGUCGUACACGGGUUAACCACAAGGUGGAGCAAAAUGCCUACUUUUUUCCUUGUAUUUUAGGAUGCAGUUGUAUAAUUUUUUGCCAUGAUGUUUUCUGAGAGUAUUUUGUAAGUUCUAAAUAAAUGUACUGAAAGGAACCAAA